UUUGAUGCCUUACUUGAUAUUGCUAAUUGAUUGCUGAUUAUUGCUUGAUUCAAAAGUUCAAAGGAAAAGUGGGUUUUCUAUAUGACAUUUUUGUCUGUUGGAUUACAUCCCAUUGAUCAGAUCUUUUCAACUCUUAACUUUUAAUUUUAUGCUUAGGAUUAAUCUCUUCAUCUCCUCCCACUUCUUAAAUUUCAAAAUC
rnacentral:lncRNA from 1 species